UACGUAGGGUGCAAGCGUUAAUCGGAAUUACUGGGCGUAAAGCGUGCGCAGGCGGUUCUAUAAGACAGAUGUGAAAUCCCCGGGCUCAACCUGGGAACUGCGCUUGUGACUGCAAGACUCGAGUACGGCAGAGGGGGGUAGAAUUCCACGUGUAGCAGUGAAAUGCGUAGAGAUGUGGAGGAAUACCGAUGGCGAAGGCAGCCCCCUGGGUCGAUACUGACGCUCAUGCACGAAAGCGUGGGGAGCAAACAGG
rnacentral:rRNA from 1 species